rnacentral:rRNA from 1 species
UACCACUCUGAAGGUCCAUGAACUCAUCUGAUCUCAGAAACUGAGGAGGGUGGGGCCUGAUUAAUAUUUGGAUGGCAAAAAAAAAUUCUUGUU